rnacentral:rRNA from 1 species
GAUGAACGCUGGCGGCGUGCCUAAUACAUGCAAGUCGAGCGAACAGAUGAGAAGCUUGCUUCUCUGAUGUUAGCGGCGGACGGGUGAGUAACACGUGGGUAACCUACCUAUAAGACUGGGAUAACUCCGGGAAACCGGGGCUAAUACCGGAUAAUAUUUUGAACCGCAUGGUUCAAUAGUGAAAGACGGUUUCGGCUGUCACUUAUAGAUGGACCCGCGCCGUAUUAGCUAGUUGGUAAGGUAACGGCUUACCAAGGAGACGAUACGUAUCCGACCUGAGAGGGUGAUCGGCCACACUGGAACUGAGACACGGUCCAGAAUCAUACGGGAGGCAGCAGUAGGGAAUCUUCCGCAAUGGGCGAAAGCCUGACGGAGCAACGCCGCGUGAGUGAUGAAGGUCUUCGGAUCGUAAAACUCUGUUGUUAGGGAAGAACAAAUUUGUUAGUAACUGAACAAGUCUUGACGGUACCUAACCAGAAAGCCACGGCUAACUACGUGCCAGCCGCCGCCGUAA